AGUGAACGCUGGCGGUAGGCCUAACACAUGCAAGUCGAACGGCAGCACAGUAAGAGCUUGCUCUUACGGGUGGCGAGUGGCGGACGGGUGAGGAAUACAUCGGAAUCUACUUUUUCGUGGGGGAUAACGUAGGGAAACUUACGCUAAUACCGCAUACGACCUACGGGUGAAAGCAGGGGAUCUUCGGACCUUGCGCGAUUGAAUGAGCCGAUGUCGGAUUAGCUAGUUGGCGGGGUAAAGGCCCACCAAGGCGACGAUCCGUAGCUGGUCUGAGAGGAUGAUCAGCCACACGGGAACUGAGACACGGUCCAGACUCCUACGGGAGGCAGCAGUGGGGAAUAUUGGACAAUGGGCGCAAGCCUGGUCCAGCCAUACCGCGUGGGUGAAGAAGGCCUUCGGGUUGUAAAGCCCUUUUGUUGGGAAAGAAAAGCAGCAGGUUAAUACCCCGCUGUUCUGACGGUACCCAAAGAAUAAGCACCGGCUAACUUCGUG
rnacentral:rRNA from 1 species